rnacentral:lncRNA from 1 species
GCUGUGGGAAAAGCUGAGCACCGUCUCCUGGAAGCAGCAAACACAAAUCCAUGGUGGCAACAGAUGCUGGACCUGCUGCCCUACCUGGGAGUGCCACGGAGGAGUCUGCUGUCUGCCUGGCCUCUCCUCUUCCCUCCUGUGGGUCUGGGAUGAACUCAGCCCAUGCAUGGCUGUGGCUGGGGUUCUCACUUGCAGCAGAUAUGGCAGAGUGCAUCCCUCAGCCUCCCUCCACCUGGUCCAUGGGCCAGCAGCCCCCCAACACCUCUACUGCCUGCCCACUGGAGCCUGUGAACCUGGGUGUCUUGGAGCAGCAAAUGCCACUGGAGCAGCCCCCAUCCUCCCCGGAGCUGGGUGAGGAUGAGGAUGUCACCUCCCCGCCAGAUCCUGAUGUCCCCUACCCUGACUUGGCCCCGGUCGUCUUCUUUUGCUUGAAGCAGACCACCAGCCCACGGAGCUGGUGCAUCAAAAUGGUGUGCAACCCAUAUCCUUUCUGAGCUGCCUCUUCUCCAUCCUCACCUCCUGCCCCGUCCCUCCUCUCUCCCUGUCCCCUCAGGGCGCCUGCCAGGUAAGCAAUGAACUUUCCUAUGUAUUUAAUGAACCGCU